GACGAACGCUGGCGGCGUGCCUAAUACAUGCAAGUUGAGCGCUGAAGGUUGGUCCUUGUACCAACUGGAUGAGCAGCGAACGGGUGAGUAACGCGUGGGGAAUCUGCCUUUGAGCGGGGGACAACAUUUGGAAACGAAUGCUAAUACCGCAUAAAAACUUUCAACACAAGUUUUAAGUUUGAAAGAUGCUAUUGCAUCACUCAAAGAUGAUCCCGCGUUGUAUUAGCUAGUUGGUGAGGUAAAGGCUCACCAAGGCGAUGAUACAUAGCCGACCUGAGAGGGGGAGCGGCCACAUUGGGACUGAAACAAGGCCCAAACUCCUACGGGAGGCAGCAGUAGGGAAUCUUCGGCAAUGGACGAAAGUCUGACCGAGCAACGCCGCGUGAGUGAAGAAGGUUUUAGGAUCGUAAAACUCUGUUGGUAGAGAAGAACGUUGGUGAGAGUGGAAAGCUCAUAAAGUGACGGUAACUACCCAGAAAGGGACGGCUAACUACGUG
rnacentral:rRNA from 1 species